rnacentral:rRNA from 1 species
CGGGUGAGUAACGCGUGGGUAACCUGCCCUGUACAGAGGAAUAGCCAUUGGAAACGAUGAUUAAUGCCUCAUAAGACCACAGCACCUCCUGGUGCAGUGGUAAAAACUCCGGUGGUACAGGAUGGACCCGCGUUAGAUUAGCUAGUUGGUGAGGUAAUGGCUCACCAAGGCUACGAUCUAUAGCCGACCUGAGAGGGUGAUCGGCCACACUGGAACUGAGACACGGUCCAGACUCC